UGGGGAAUUUUUCGCAAUGGGGGAAACCCUGACGAAGCAACGCCGCGUGGAGGAUGAAGGCCUUCGGGUCGUAAACUCCUGUCGACCGGGAAGAAUGCACCCGACCUAACACGUCGGCGUGUUGACUGUACCGGUGGAGGAAGCCACGGCUAACUCUGUGCCAGCAGCCGCGGUAAUACAGAGGUGGCAAGCGUUGUUCGGAAUUACUGGGCGUAAAGGGCGCGUAGGCGGCCCGCCAAGUCCCGUGUGAAAGCCCCCGGCUCAACCGGGGAACGGCGCGGGAAACUAGCAGGCUUGAGUUCGGGAGAGGGAAGCGGAAUUCAGGGUGUAGCGGUGAAAUGCGCAGAUAUCCUGAGGAACACCGGUGGCGAAGGCGGCUUCCUGGACCGACACUGACGCUGAGGCGCGAAAGCUAGGGGAGCAAACGGGAUUAGAUACCCCGGUAGUCCUAGCCCUAAACGAUGAGCACUGGGUGUAGAGGGUAUGAACCCCUUCUGUGCCGAAGCUAACGCAUUAAGUGCUCCGCCUGGGGAGUACGGUCGCAAGGCUG
rnacentral:rRNA from 1 species